rnacentral:rRNA from 1 species
AGUGAACGCUGGCGGUAUGCCUAACACAUGCAAGUCGAACGGCAGCACAGUAAGAGCUUGCUCUUACGGGUGGCGAGUGGCGGACGGGUGAGGAAUACAUCGGAAUCUACUUUUUCGUGGGGGAUAACGUAGGGAAACUUCCGCUACUACCGCAUACUACCUACGGGUGGAAUCAGGGGAUCUUCGGACCUUGCGCGAUUGAAUGAGCCGAUGUCGGAUUAGCUAGUUGGCGGGGUAAAGGCCCACCAAGGCGACGAUCCGUAGCUGGUCUGAGAGGAUGAUCAGCCACACUGGAACUGAGACACGGUCCAGACUCCUACGGGAGGCAGCAGUGGGGAAUAUUGGACAAUGGGCGCAAGCCUGAUCCAGCCAUACCGCGUGGGUGAAGAAGGCCUUCGGGUUGUAAAGCCCUUUUGUUGGGAAAGAAAAGAAGCAGGUUAAUACCCCGCUGUUCUGACGGUACCCAAAGAAUAAGCACCGGCUAACUUCGUG